rnacentral:rRNA from 1 species
CCUACGGGAGGCAGCAGUGGGGAAUAUUGGGCAAUGGGCGCAAGCCUGACCCAGCAACGCCGCGUGAAGGAAGAAGGCCUUCGGGUUGUAAAGCUCUUUUCUCAGGGACGAAGAAAGUGAGGGUACUUGAGUAAUAAGCCACGGCUAACUACGUGCCAGCAGCCGCGGUAAUACGUAGGGGGAAAGCGUUAUACGGAAUUAGUGGGUGUAAAGGGCGUGUAGGCGGGGGGGCAAGGCAGAUGUGAAAACUCAGGGCUCAACCGUGAGACUGCAUUUGAAACUGGGUUGCUUGAGUGGUGGAGAGGCGAGCGGAAUUCCAGGUGUAGCGGUGAAAUGCGUAGAUAUACGGAGGAACACCGGUGGCGAAGGCGGAUUGCUGGACAGUGACUGACGCUGAGGCGCGAAAGCGUGGGGAGCAAACAGGAUUAGAUACCCCAGUAGUC